GAAGCUGACCAGACAGUCGCCGCUUCGUCGUCGUCCUUUCGGGGAGACGGGCGGAGGGGAGGAAAGUCCGGGCUCCAUAGGGCAGGGUGCCAGGUAACGCCCGGGGGGGAAACCCACGACCAGUGCAACAGAGAGCAAACCGCCGAUGGCCCACGUAAGUGGGAUCAGGUAAGGGUGAAAGGGUGCGGUAAGAGCGCACCGCGCGGCUGGUAACAGUCCGUGGCACGGUAAACUCCACCCGGAGCAAGGCCAAAUAGGGGUUCAUAAGGUACGGCCCGUACUGAACCCGGGUAGGCUGCUUGAGCCAGUGAGCGAUUGCUGGCCUAGAUGAAUGACUGUCCACGACAGAACCCGGCUUAUCGGUCAGUUUCACUU
rnacentral:RNase_P_RNA from 1 species